AUGGCUAAACAUCAUCCUAAUUUGAUCUUUUGCUGCAAGCCAGCUGGUGUUGUCAUUGGAAGAUUGUGUGAAAAAUGUGACAGCAAGUGUGUGAUUUGUGACUUUGUGCGUCCCUGCACUCUGGUGUGCUAUGUGAUGAGUGUAACUACGUAUCUUAGCAGGGGUGCCGUGUGAUCUGUGGAGGCCCUGGGGUCUCUGGUGCCUAUUACUGUAAGGAGUGCACCAUCUAGGAGAAGGAUAGAGAUGGCUGCCCAAAGAUUGUCAAUUUGGGGAGCUCUAAGACAGACCUCUUCUACGAACACAAAAAAAUGCAGCUUCAAGAAGAGGUGA
rnacentral:lncRNA from 1 species